GAUGAACGCUGGCGGCGUGCCUAAUACAUGCAAGUCGAGCGAACGGACGAGAAGCUUGCUUCUCUGAUGUUAGCGGCGGACGGGUGAGUAACACGUGGAUAACCUACCUAUAAGACUGGGAUAACUUCGGGAAACCGGAGCUAAUACCGGAUAAUAUUUUGAACCGCAUUGUUCAAACGUGAAAGACGGUCUUGCUUUCACUUAUAGAUGGAUCCGCGCUGCAUUAGCUAGUUGGUAAGGUAACGGCUUACCAAGGCAACGAUGCAUAGCCGACCUGAGAGGGUGGACGGCCACACGGGAACUGAGACACGGUCCAGACUCCUACAGGAGGCAGCAGUAGGGAAUCUUCCGCAAUGGGCGAAAGCCGGACGGAGCAACGCCGCGUGAGUGAUGAAGGUCUACGGAUCGUAAAACUAUGUUAUUAGGGAAGAACAUAUGUGUAAGUAACUGUGCACAUCUUGACGGUACCUAAACAGAAAGCCACGGCUAACUACGUG
rnacentral:rRNA from 1 species